rnacentral:rRNA from 1 species
UGGCUCAAGACGAACGCUGGCGGCGUGCCUAAUACAUGCAAGUCGAGCGAGCUUGCCUAGAUGAUUUUAGUGCUUGCACUAAAUGAAACUAGAUACAAGCGAGCGGCGGACGGGUGAGUAACACGUGGGUAACCUGCCCAAGAGACUGGGAUAACACCUGGAAACAGAUGCUAAUACCGGAUAACAACACUAGACGCAUGUCUAGAGUUUGAAAGAUGGUUCUGCUAUCACUCUUGGAUGGACCUGCGGUGCAUUAGCUAGUUGGUAAGGUAACGGCUUACCAAGGCAAUGAUGCAUAGCCGAGUUGAGAGACUGAUCGGCCACAUUGGGACUGAGACACGGCCCAAACUCCUACGGGAGGCAGCAGUAGGGAAUCUUCCACAAUGGACGAAAGUCUGAUGGAGCAACGCCGCGUGAGUGAAGAAGGGUUUCGGCUCGUAAAGCUCUGUUGGUAGUGAAGAAAGAUAGAGGUAGUAACUGGCCUUUAUUUGACGGUAAUUACUUAGAAAAUCACGGCUAACUACGUGCCAGCAGCCGCGGUAAUACGUAGGUGGCAAGCGUUGUCCGGAUUUAUUGGGCGUAAAGCGAGUGCAGGCGGUUCAAUAAGUCUGAUGUGAAAGCCUUCGGCUCAACCGGAGAAUUGCAUCAGAAACUGUUGAACUUGAGUGCAGAAGAGGAGAGUGGAACUCCAUGUGUAGCGGUGGAAUGCGUAGAUAUAUGGAAGAACACCAGUGGCGAAGGCGGCUCUCUGGUCUGCAACUGACGCUGAGGCUCGAAAGCAUGGGUAGCGAACAGGAUUAGAUACCCUGGUAGUCCAUGCCGUAAACGAUGAGUGCUAAGUGUUGGGAGGUUUCCGCCUCUCAGUGCUGCAGCUAACGCAUUAAGCACUCCGCCUGGGGAGUACGACCGCAAGGUUGAAACUCAAAGGAAUUGACGGGGGCCCGCACAAGCGGUGGAGCAUGUGGUUUAAUUCGAAGCGACGCGAAGAACCUUACCCGGCCUUGACAUCCCCACGGAUGCAGGGCAAUGCCUGCAGCCCCUCGGGGCGUGGGAGACAGGUGGUGCAUGGUUGUCGUCAGCUCGUGUCGUGAGAUGUUGGGUCAAGUCCCGCAACGAGCGCAACCCCUGCCCCUAGUAGCCAGCACGUAGAGGUGGGCACUCUAGGGGGACUGCCGGGGACAACCCGGAGGAAGGCGGGGACGACGUCAAAUCAUCAUGCCCCUUAUGGCCGGGGCUACACACGUGCUACAAUGGCGCGCACAGAGGGAGGCGAGCGGGCGACCGUGAGCGAAGCCCGGAAAGCGCGCCCCAGUUCGGAUUGCAGCCUGCAACUCGGCUGCAUGAAGCCGGAAUCGCUAGUAAUCGCGGAUCAGAACGCCGCGGUGAAUACGUUCCCGGGUCUUGUACUCACCGCCCGUCA